AUCCAGCCAAAAAGUCCCAAACAGGACGAAAUGCGUGUUCUGGAU
rnacentral:hammerhead_ribozyme from 1 species